ACUCAAAUGAAUAGACGGGGGCCCGCACAAGCAGCGGAGCAUGUGGUUUAAUUCGAAGCAACGCGAAGAACCUUACCAGGUCUUGACAUCCUUUGACAACCCAAGAGAUUGGGAUUUCCCUUCGGGGACAAAGUGACAGAUGGUGCAUGGUUGUCGUCAGCUCGUGUCGUGAGAUGUUGGGUUAAGUCCCGCAACGAGCGCAACCCUUGUGUUUAGUUGCCAUCAUUCAGUUGGGCACUCUAGACAGACUGCCCGUGAAAGCGGGAGGAAGGUGGGGAUGACGUCAAAUCAUCAUGCCUCUUACGACCUGGGCUACACACGUGCUACAAUGGUCUGAACAGAGGGUAGCGAAGCCGUGAGGCGGAGCCAAUCUCAAAAAACAGAUCUCAGUUCGGAUUGCAGGCUGCAACUCGCCUGCAUGAAGUCGGAGUUGCUAGUAAUCGCGAAUCAGCAUGUCGCGGUGAAUGCGUUCCCGGGCCUUGUACACACCGCCCGU
rnacentral:rRNA from 1 species